rnacentral:rRNA from 1 species
AGAUUGAACGCUGGCGGCAUGCUUUACACAUGCAAGUCGAACGGCAGCGCGGGGCAACCUGGCGGCGAGUGGCGAACGGGUGAGUAAUAUAUCGGAACGUACCCAAGAGUGGGGGAUAACGUAGCGAAAGUUACGCUAAUACCGCAUACGAUCUAAGGAUGAAAGUGGGGAUUCGCAAGAACCUCAUGCUCCUGGAGCGGCCGAUAUCUGAUUAGCUAGUUGGUGAGGUAAAGGCUCACCGAAGGCGACGAUCAGUAGCUGGUCUGAGAGGACGACCAGCCACACUGGAACUGAGACACGGUCCAGACUCCGUACGGGAGCAGCAGGUGGGUAAUUUGGACAGUGGGCACGAAGCCUGACUCCAGCAAGUCGCCGCGUGAGUAGAAGGACGGUCCGUUAGGUUAGUAAAGUC